rnacentral:tRNA from 1 species
CAAAAGAUGCCUGAAUAAAGGAAUAUUUUGAUAGAAUAUAUAAUCUAAGAAACUCUUAGUCUUUUGA